rnacentral:rRNA from 1 species
UAGUGGCGAACGGGUGAGUAACACGUGAGUAACCUGCCCCUCACUUUGGGAUAACUCCGGGAAACCGGGGCUAAUACUGGAUAUGAGCCUUCCUCGCAUGGGGUUGGUUGGAAAGGGUUUCUGGUGGGGGAUGGGCUCGCGGCCUAUCAGCUUGUUGGUGGGGUGAUGGCCUACCAAGGCUUCGACGGGUAGCCGGCCUGAGAGGGCGACCGGCCACAUUGGGACUGAGAUACGGCCCAGACUCCUACGGGAGGCAGCAGUGGGGAAUAUUGCACAAUGGGCGAAAGCCUGAUGCAGCGACGCCGCGUGAGGGAUGGAGGCCUUCGGGUUGUAAACCUCUUUCGGCAGGGAAGAAGCGUUAAGUGACGGUACCUGCAGAAGAAGCGCCGGCUAACUACGUGCCAGCAGCCGCGGUAAUACGUAGGGCGCAAGCGUUGUCCGGAAUUAUUGGGCGUAAAGAGCUCGUAGGUGGUUUGUCGCGUCUGGUGUGAAAUCCCGGGGCUUAACUUCGGGCGUGCAUCGGGUACGGGCAGGCUAGAGUGCGGUAGGGGAGACUGGAAUUCCUGGUGUAGCGGUGGAAUGCGCAGAUAUCAGGAGGAACACCGAUGGCGAAGGCAGGUCUCUGGGCCGCAACUGACGCUGAGGAGCGAAAGCAUGGGGAGCGAACAGGAUUAGAU